GACGGAGGAUGCAAGUGUUAUCCGGAAUCACUGGGCGUAAAGCGUCUGUAGGUCGUUUAAAAAAGUCUACUGUUAAAAAUUGAAGCUUAACUUCAAAGAUGCCGUAGAAACUUUUAAACUUGAGUAUGGUAGGGGUAGAGGGAAUUUCCAGUGGAGCGGUGAAAUGCGUAGAUAUUGGAAAGACCACCAAUGGCGAAGGCACUCUACUGGGCCAUUACUGACACUGAGAGACGAAAGCUAGGGGAGCAAAUGGG
rnacentral:rRNA from 1 species